CUACGGCUGCCAGGGCUGCUGCAGCUUCAAGUGUCUCAACAGCGGCCUCCUCUUUGCCAGCCGCUACCCCAUCAUGGACGUGGCCUAUCACUGUUACCCCAACAAGUGUAACGACGAUGCCCUGGCCUCUAAGGGAGCUCUGUUUCUCAAGUCUUUGCCCGCCAGGACUCAAAGGCACAGCCUCUCGUGUGAUUGCUUGUUUUUGCAAGAGAAACACAAGGCUCUGCGGCUCCCAAGGCCACGAGCCAGGAAUCAAUGAGGCCCAGCAAAUAAUCAAGUGGAUCUUGGUGAGAUCACACGGCAGAUGAGGAGGGAGAAGCAGGGCAGGAGGGAGCAGGACCUCGUCACUCCUCCGGCCAGUGGGUUCUUGUCGUGCAGGGCCCAGUCUGAGGCCUCCCUGCGAGUGUCCAACCCUGUCCGGGACACAGCACGGGGCAGGUGACACCAAGUGUUGGAUGAGUGAGAGGCUGACGCCUUAAGACCAACAAACAGGCGGCCGGGGAGAAACCGCAAAGACACCAGCCCCUCAGAAAGCAGCGCAGAGCA
rnacentral:sRNA from 1 species